AAUGAACGCUGGCGGCGUGCCUAACACAUGCAAGUCGCGCGCGAUGGGGAGCAAUCCCGGAGAGCGGCGGACGGGUGAGUAACACGUGGGUAACCUGCCUGGGAAGCGGGGGAUAACCUGGGGAAACUCGGGCUAAUACCGCAUACGAUCACGGGGCUUCGGUCCUGUGCUGAAAGGUGGCCUCUUCUUGAAAGCUACUACUUCCAGAGGGACCCGCGCCUGAUUAGCUAGUUGGAGGUAACGGCCUACCAAGGCGACGAUCAGUAGCCGGCCUGAGAGGGUGAUCGGCCACACUGGAACUGAGACACGGUCCAGACUCCUACGGGAGCAGCAGUGA
rnacentral:rRNA from 1 species